rnacentral:misc_RNA from 1 species
GAUGAAGAACGUAGCGAAAUGCGAUAAGUAGUGUGAAUUGCAGAAUUCAGUGAAUCAUCGAAUCUUUGAACGCACAUUGCGCCCCUCGGUAUUCCGUGGGGCAUGCCUGUUCGAGCGUCAUUUACCCCUCAAGCACUGCUUGGUGUUGGGCGUCUGUCCCGCUUCGCGCGCGGACUCGCCCCAAAGGUAUUGGCAGCGGUCGUGCCAGCUUCUCGCGCAGCACAUUGCGCUACUCGAGGCGGUCGAUCGGCGUCCACGAAGCUCACCUCCACCGUUUGACCUCGGAUCAGGUAGGGAUACCCGCUGAACUUAAGCAUAUAAUAAGCGGAGGA